UAGGUCUUGCCAUCUAGAGCAGAGACAAAAGUCGAAGAAUUAUAGAAAUCAACUAAACUUCUGAAGGAUACAAGUGUAAAGUUGGAGAAUGAUGUGGUAGCAGCUGAAGGAGAGAUGAUACGAGGAAGGACAAAACUCAGGCAAGUAGGCAAACAAAUCCAUAGUGACAUACAGUCAGCGUAGAAGAUAGAAAGGCAAGCUGCAGGUUUGCAAUUAAAAGGGAGAGGACCAGAGAUAGAGAUGAUGAUGAACAUCAUCUAACUCGAGAUUAUGACUCUAU